UUUUUUUGUUUUUUUUCUUUUUAAAAUUUUUUGGAAAUUAUUCUUGGCUUAAAUCAAUAAAAUAAAAGAAAGAAAAAAAGAAAGAAUACGAUUCUCAUCUCUGGCGGUUAUACCCGGAGUUACCUGACAUUGGCAACCACCAUAUUAAUUAAGAACAAAUAUUUAGUAAAAAUGAGGUCCAAAAGUUAUGCACAUUCAAAGCUAAACAAACGAAAACACAAUUCGAAUUAUCCAACAUAUGAAGUUUUAGAUCAUACAUAUUGCAAGUGCCAAAAAUCGCUUCAACAAAC